CUCUCUCUCUGUACUCUUCUUCGAACGAACUUUGAGCAAGGAUCUCCUUCUUUUCCCUCAUCUUAAAAUUAAAGAUUUAAGGUUGGAAACCUUCAAGUGAAAACAAGGAGCUUAUGGAGGAGUGCCGCAAUUAAGCUUUUAGACUUACAAAUCUAAGCACUUGGUGGUCUCCAUGGUCCAGCUUCAUUAGAGGCGCCAUGAUAGACUGGCUGACAUUGGUUAUCCAUUCAGGAGGUGCGAAGAGAACCUGAAAUUGGAAGUGGGUGGGUACCCCUACUUAUUCUGAGACACCGUGCGUCACCUCACGUUUGAACUUAGAGGCUAACGCCAAGGUGGAUUUGUUUUCAUGUUUAAAGUUGUUUAACUUGACGGUGGUUUAGUUUGGGAACUAUUUUCUUGGCGAAUUUAUG